rnacentral:misc_RNA from 1 species
UGGAUGGCCCGAGAUGGUGAUGGCUAAGGCGGUUGAUGAACUAGCUAAGAAGACUCCAGGUAAAAGGUCUCAUGCAAUUGAGGCUUUCACCCGUGCACUUCUGGCAAUUCCAACCACCAUUGCCGACAAUGCUGGGUUAGACAGUGCUGAGCUGAUUGCUCAGCUUCGUGCUGAACACCACAAGGACGAAAGUAAUGCAGGAAUUGAUGUCAUCUCUGGAUCUGUCGGAGAUAUGUCAGAGCUAGGAAUAUCCGAAUCAUUCAAAGUCAAACAGGCAGUAUUGCUCUCUGCCACUGAGGCUGCUGAGAUGAUCCUAAGGGUUGACGAGAUCAUCACUUGCGCCCCACGGAGGAGGGAGGGAAUGUAAAAAACACACUAUUAGUCAUGUUUAAGCUGUUGAGACGACUCGUAUUAUUUAUGGUUUGAGAAUUUGAGGUGUUAGGUGUUGGAAGUCGUAAACGAACCAAAAUGAUAGAUUGCUAUUUGGAACCAUGCUAAAAUUCACUAUGUUGAGUAGUUUAUUUUGUUUUUGUCUUUUGAGAAAAUGUUUUGGUUUGUUUUUCAUCAUGCAAGUUUUGAGUGAAUGCAUUGUUCUAUUACUUUAGACAUGUACUUGUUUUGUAAACACUAGUGAUUUUUGUCAUUUCAAGCAUUAAAG